GAGUUUGAUCAUGGCUCAGAUUGAACGCUGGCGGCAGGCCUAACACAUGCAAGUCGAACGGUAACAGGAAGCAGCUUGCUGCUUCGCUGACGAGUGGCGGACGGGUGAGUAAUGUCUGGGAAGCUGCCUGAUGGAGGGGGAUAACUACUGGAAACGGUAGCUAAUACCGCAUAAUGUCGCAAGACCAAAGAGGGGGACCUUCGGGCCUCUUGCCAUCGGAUGUGCCCAGAUGGGAUUAGCUUGUUGGUGGGGUAACGGCUCACCAAGGCGACGAUCCCUAGCUGGUCUGAGAGGAUGACCAGCCACACUGGAACUGAGACACGGCCCAGACUCCUACGGGAGGCAGCAGUGGGGAAUAUUGCACAAUGGGCGCAAGCCUGAUGCAGCCAUGCCGCGUGUAUGAAGAAGGCCUUCGGGUUGUAAAGUACUUUCAGCGGGGAGGAAGGGAGUAAAGUUAAUACCUUUGCUCAUUGACGUUACCCGCAGAAGAAGCACCGGCUAACUCCGUGCCAGCAGCCGCGGUAAUACGGAGGGUGCAAGCGUUAAUCGGAAUUACUGGGCGUAAAGCGCACGCAGGCGGUUUGUUAAGUCAGAUGUGAAAUCCCCGGGCUCAACCUGGGAACUGCAUCUGAUACUGGCAAGCUUGAGUCUCGUAGAGGGGGGUAGAAUUCCAGGUGUAGCGGUGAAAUGCGUAGAGAUCUGGAGGAAUACCGGUGGCGAAGGCGGCCCCCUGGACGAAGACUGACGCUCAGGUGCGAAAGCGUGGGGAGCAAACAGGAUUAGAUGCCCAGGUAGUCCACGCCGUAAACGAUGUCGACUUGGAGGUUGUGCCCUUGAGGCGUGGCUUCCGGAGCUAACGCGUUAAGUCGACCGCCUGGGGAGUACGGCCGCAAGGUUAAAACUCAAAUGAAUUGACGGGGGCCCGCACAAGCGGUGGAGCAUGUGGUUUAAUUCGAUGCAACGCGAAGAACCUUACCUGGUCUUGACAUCCACGGAAGUUUUCAGAGAUGAGAAUGUGCCUUCGGGAACCGUGAGACAGGUGCUGCAUGGCUGUCGUCAGCUCGUGUUGUGAAAUGUUGGGUUAAGUCCCGCAACGAGCGCAACCCUUAUCCUUUGUUGCCAGCGGUCCGGCCGGGAACUCAAAGGAGACUGCCAGUGAUAAACUGGAGGAAGGUGGGGAUGACGUCAAGUCAUCAUGGCCCUUACGACCAGGGCUACACACGUGCUACAAUGGCGCAUACAAAGAGAAGCGACCUCGCGAGAGCAAGCGGACCUCAUAAAGUGCGUCGUAGUCCGGAUUGGAGUCUGCAACUCGACUCCAUGAAGUCGGAAUCGCUAGUAAUCGUGGAUCAGAAUGCCACGGUGAAUACGUUCCCGGGCCUUGUACACACCGCCCGUCACACCAUGGGAGUGGGUUGCAAAAGAAGUAGGUAGCUUAACCUUCGGGAGGGCGCUUACCACUUUGUGAUUCAUGACUGGGGUGAAGUCGCAACAAGGUA
rnacentral:rRNA from 1 species